rnacentral:rRNA from 1 species
GCGUGGGUGAAGAAGGCCUUAGGGUUGUAAAGCCCUUUCGGCGGGGAAGAUGAUGACGGUACCCGCAGAAGAAGCCCCGGCUAACUCCGUGCCAGCAGCCGCGGUAAUACGGAGGGGGCUAGCGUUGUUCGGAAUUACUGGGCGUAAAGCGCACGUAGGCGGCCCGACUAGUCAGAGGUGAAAUCCCCAGGCUCAACCUGGGAACUGCCUUUGAUACUUUCGGGCUAGAGGCCGGGAGAGGGUAGUGGAAUUCCCAGUGUAGAGGUGAAAUUCGU